UACAGAGGUCUCAAGCGUUGUUCGGAUUCAUUGGGCGUAAAGGGUGCGUAGGUGGUUCGGCAAGUCUUGUGUGAAAUCUUCAGGCUCAACUUGAAGUCUGCACAAGAAACUGCCGGGCUUGAGUAUGGGAGAGGUGAGUGGAAUUUCCGGUGUAGCGGUGAAAUGCGUAGAUAUCAGGAGGAACACCUGUGGCGAAAGCGGCUCACUGGACCAUAACUGACGCUGAUGCACGAAAGCUAGGGGAGCAAACAGG
rnacentral:rRNA from 1 species